UUUGCGGCGCUGGUUGUAAUGACUGGCCUAACAAGGAAUCCGGUGCGAAUCCGGAGCAGUCCCGCUGCUGUAUUUGGGGACAAAGGCGCAUCAACGUCACUGGGAGCGAUCCCGGGAAGGCGCGCCCGAGUAUGAUCCAUAAGUCAGAAGACUUACCGUGAAGG
rnacentral:ncRNA from 1 species